GGGAAGAGAUCCUGCUCUCUCUUUAUUUACUUGACAACCGCGGAUGGGGAGGAUGCGGGUGGGGUGAAUUACAUGGAGAAUGGAGUAGGCGGCGAGCUCCACAAAGGGGAUGAGGGGCGUGGGGCUGAAGGUAUGGUUCGCUACAGCGGUGGUGACACGGAACCUACCACGCCCACCGGAUCUCGGUUGUUGCUCUCUCUCGAUCUGUUCGAUACUCGGUUGUUUCUUUACUCUCCAUCCAGAUCCUGCAGAGGCGCCUUGGGCUGGUGAGGUCGCUGGUGUUGGCAACGAUGCUGCAGAUCGGGUCGCACCUCUUUGUCACCUGGAGCUUCCCCGAGGUUCCCGGUACUAUUGAUGGUGUCUCUUUCUGUUCUUAUUACUGCUGCACAAAGCUGUUGAGCUUGGUCGUUUUCCUUUCUUGGUUGUGUUUGCAGACCAGGACACACAUCGUGGUGACUUGGUCAGCUCCUUGGUCAUCAUCUGGUCCAUCACCGAGGUAUGUAUUCACCAUUGACUUCACUCAUAUCAUACGCUCCUUGAAAGCUAGGGACUACAGUUGUUCAUAAUAAAUGUAUUAUCAAGCCGCGAGGCGCUCCUGUUGAUGUGCACACUAGCUCGAGAUGUGUCCCUCAAUUAAUGCAAAUGCGAGUAUGCGAUGACGAUUUGACAUGUGUGUGUUGCUGCUUCAAAUUGAAUUUCUAGAUACUAAUGAGGAAUUUAACAAAGAAUUAUUAUAGCUUAAUUUACUAUACUUCACUAUUAUAUCAGGGGAGAUGUGGUUACAUCUUAAUUUACUAUGCUUCAAACUGUUUUCACGCUAUUGUAUGGUGCUUGCGAGACCUUGCCAUCUAAGGUUGCUCCAAAAUAACGGCUAGGCAACGCCUUAAACUAUGUGUUUGGUGAAACUUUUAAAUAGGAGAAUAUAGUGGAAACAUUGCAAUACCCACACACUUGUUCAGAAGUGUUUUGAAGCGUUGUAACCGGAGGCCAGUUUCAAGUAAAAUAAAAAAGGGAGUAUUGACAAUGUGUCUUCAGUAUGUUAUGUAGAAGGUAGUGUCCCACCUUUGUAUUUUCAUAUGGUUUGUUUACCACAGGCCAUCAGUUUUUGUAAUUUUGUGUGCUCGUUCUCUGAAAAUUAUUUCAUGUUAUUUGUACUCAGGUGCGUAACCUAACUACUCCCUCUGUCCCGCAAUUCUUAUCUGGACCACCACCAACCGGAGACGACGGGAACCGUAGCUGCUGCAACAACCUGUUAACCCGCCGGUGGCAGCAAGCUAAAGGCUCCCCCUUGCAAGGUCAAAGGAGAAGUACAACAGCGACAAUGUCCUGGAGCAGCACGGCGAUCUGGACGGGAAGGAGGGUAGCAGCAGGACGAGGGGCGCAACUAAGCCGUCUUGCUCUCUUCGGUCGACCCUCCAUGACGGACGCCACAAGAUCUUCUGUCUGCAGAAAGUGAAUUACUUGCUCAUCUAUUUAUUCUUUUGAAAUUGCAGCUGAAUUUUGUCAAACCUAGAGCGGGAUUUUGCAGCAAGAGAUAUCUCUGACAACCACUGUGCAAUCAUCUCAACGAUAAAAAUUUAGUGUAAAAUUUUGUCAAACUGAAUCUUUCUCAACAGAUUUAGUUAUUUUGCUAAAAAAUCAGUUUUGUAUCCUGCUCUGAAUAUAAAGUGUACUGCUUAUUGCAAGCAAGUUUAAAAUUUCAGUCUAAAAGUCAGUUAACUGAAUUUUGACACAAUAGUUAACUGAAUUUACUGUCAUCCCUAUCAAAUGCAGUUUAUCCGUUCGUCCUGCUUCUCACUUUCUUCUAUGUUUUCUAAGAAAAAAUUAACUUCCUUCUGUAGUUAUUCACAUGAUAUAUGUGCCAACUUCCUUUCGCAAAAUCUUGCCAUCUUGACCAACAUUUUGACAGGCUUACUGCUAAUCUAGGGCCACAUGAGACUUUGUUGGGUUAGUUAUUUUUCGCACCAACCAACAAUGCAUAGAAAUCUGCUAGAUUACCCAAGUCCAUAGCAAAGGAGGAAGAAAGUGAAAUGUGAGGCUGAUCAACUUAUCCAUCAGCUAGAUAACCCCAAGUGUAACUGGGUUCAGGGCCUGUACUUGCUUACCGAUGGAAAAGGACAAAUAAUUGGAUUGCUGUUUUCAACAAUGGGUGUUGAUGUUUGCAUGAUCAGUGUUAAUCCAAGGUAAUCAAAGUACUGAAUCACUCCUUUCUGGAGUAUUGUCAUUUAACAAUAAACUGAGUUACUGCCAUUUAAGAGUAAAUUGAAUUUAUCUUGAGUAUGCAGUAAACUUGCUAGAGUACAAAUUUAUGCAUUACUCCAUAUUUUCUGAAGUACUGUCAUUUACUCCAUACUCCAAAUUUAUGCAUUAUUCCUUGCUGGAGUAUUUUUAAAAUACUCCUAGUGUUAAAAUCGUCAUGUUGUAUAAACUUGGCAUCUUGUUGUUCACUAUAUUUCUUUUCACUGAUGCAUUUUCCAUGUUAUUUUAAUCUGACAUACCACAUUAAUUUCUUAUUCAACGAUGUUCUUAACUAUUUACAGGUUGUAACAAAAUUUCUCACUAUGGAGUCCUUGCUUGACGAGAGCGUUGACAAGGAGAUAAAUUUGCAGAUCGAAUGAGGUGGAACUCCUUUAACAGUAACGCUGAAGGUAGUUUGCAAGCUUGCCAUGUCUUGUUUAAUCUUCAUACCAGAGAGCAGUAUAUAUGAUCGAUUACUCCGUGUAAUAAUGCAUCUUUGACUUUGCAGAUCGAAAUGUAGGAACUAGUUAUUUUGGAAGAACUAGUUAUGUAGGAACAGUCUAUAUAAGGAUGUAUAUAGAUAUAUUUUAAAAUAUUUAUCUAUUUAUUUCGUUUCAUACGUACUCUGUAGUAAAAUCUUUAAAAGAUCUUAUAUUUAAAAACAAAGGAGGUUGAGUAUUGGUCAGAUGCUUAUAGUAGGCCUAAUUAAGUAGCCCAUUGUUUAUCACAUACAUGCAUGAACCUUUUGUUUGAGAAUCAUACGUGCAUGGAUGUUGCCCAGGUAAACCAAGACGCACGGUAGAAUCUUCCCACUGUUUAUCAUGUAUGUAAGCUGUCUCACAGACAUCGAGCCUGGGCAAGUGCCCGGGGUGGUCGGGCGCUGGCUCCGCCACUGCCUACUUUCAUUGUUCUUUUCUGAGCCGAAUAGCUUAUGCUCUCAGAGUAUCAGGAAAAGAAUAUGUAAUUGUUUCUAUGGUAUUUGGCCUUCAUGUAUAUUUCAUACCGUAUCUCCGUAUGCCUUCUUUCUUGUGCAGUAAACAUAAAAAUAUAUGCUACAUUAUAAUAUUCUGUACCAGGUGCACGCACACUUUGCAUGCAUUUUUACAUCAUGGUGAUUAGAAGCAGAAUAGACAAUUAUUCAGAGACGUAAAGAUUAGAAUAAAAAAGAUUCACAUGUAUUUUAUCUGUACCUUCAUUACUAGAAGUUGUAUGCUUUCUUAUGUUUGAUUAUUUGAAUUACCAGGAUGAUCUGAAGCACCCAAAAGAAGUAGAGGACAUGACGGGAGAAGGGAACAAGAAGCUUCGUUUAUCAUUGAUGUUAUGUUGUGCACUUGUUGGGCCUUGAACCUUUAUGUGUAGAGGAGUCGAUGAAUGAUGUAUUGUAAUUCAUGUGAUGUGUUACUGAAAUGAAAUAUAUACAACUAAUUUGCAAUAUUUUAUUCUUGUGUAUUUGUUUUUUAAUUGGUCUAUCCUGAGAUAUACAUGCUUUUAGUAAAAUAAUGCAUCAGCC
rnacentral:lncRNA from 1 species